rnacentral:rRNA from 1 species
UCAAGAUUAAGCCAUGCAUGUCUAAGUAUGAAUGCUCCUCAUUGUGAAACUGCGAAUGGCUCAUUAAAUCAGUUAUAGUUUAUUUGAUGGUACCUCCUACUUGGAUAACUGUGGUAAUUCUAGAGCUAAUACAUGCAGCUAGUCCCGACUCCUGGAAGGGACGUAUUUAUUAGAUACAAAGCCAAUGCAGCUUCGGCUGGUCCCUUGGUGAUUCAUGAUAACUGCUCGAAUCGCAUGGCCUUGCGCCGGCGAUGGUUCAUUCAAGUUUCUGCCCUAUCAACUUUCGAUGGUAGGGUAUUGGCCUACCAUGGUUGCAACGGGUGACGGAGAAUUAGGGUUCGAUUCCGGAGAGGGAGCCUGAGAAACGGCUACCACAUCCAAGGAAGGCAGCAGGCGCGCAAAUUACCCAAUCCCGACUCGGGGAGGUAGUGACAAAAACUACUGAUGCUGGGCUGAACAAAGUCCGGCAAUCGGAAUGAGAACAACCUAAAUCCCUUAUCGAUGAACAAUUGGAGGGCAAGUCUGGUGCCAGCAGCCGCGGUAAUUCCAGCUCCAAUAGCGUAUAUUAAAGUUGUUGCAGUUAAAAAGCUCGUAGUUGGAUCUCGGGGAGGAGCCGUCGGUCCGUCGCGAGACUGGCACUGACGGGGGYCUC